rnacentral:rRNA from 1 species
GACGAACGCUGGCGGCGUGCUUAACACAUGCAAGUCGAACGGAAAGGCCCUGCUUUUGUGGGGUGCUCGAGUGGCGAACGGGUGAGUAACACGUGAGUAACCUGCCCUUGACUUUGGGAUAAAUUCAGGAAACUGGGGCUAAUACCGGAUAGGAGCCCCUGCUGCAUGGUGGGGGUUGGAAAGUUUCGGCGGUUGGGGAUGGACUCGCGGCUUAUCAGCUUGUUGGUGGGGUAGUGGCUUACCAAGGCUUUGACGGAUAGCCGGCCUGAGAGGGUGACCGGCCACAUUGGGACUGAGAUACGGCCCAGACUCCUACGGGAGGCAGCAGUGGGGAAUAUUGCACAAUGGGCGGAAGCCUGAUGCAGCAACGCCGCGUGCGGGAUGACGGCCUUCGGGUUGUAAACCGCUUUCGCCUGUGACGAAGCGUGAGUGACGGUAAUGGGUAAAGAAGCACCGGCUAACUACGUG